rnacentral:misc_RNA from 1 species
GUGAAUCAUCGAAUUUUUGAACGCAAAUUGCACUUUCUGGUAUUCCGGAAAGUAUGCCUGUUUGAGGGUCAGUUAAAUAAAAAUCGGUGUUGUUGCUUCCUUUCUUGGUGACGCGGCAGAUUUGAUGAGUCUUACCUUCGGUUUAGCUUCUUAAAAUUUUUGUAUGAUUUUCGAACGUAUGUUAAUCGUUUACGUACUUUUGAGAUAUCGAGUGCUUAUUAGGUUCGUGCAUCUUCAUUACCCGCGCCUAUAAUUGUUCAUUAUAUGAACUC